GUGAGCGGAUGAACUGAGGGUAGCGGAGAAAUUCCAAUCGAACCUGGAGAUAGCUGGUUCUCUCCGAAAUAGCUUUAGGGCUAGCCUCAAGUGAUGAUUAUUGGAGGUAGAGCACUGUUUGGACGAGGGGCCCCUCUCGGGUUACCGAAUUCAGACAAACUCCGAAUGCCAAUUAAUUUAACUUGGGAGUCAGAACAUGGGUGAUAAGGUCCGUGUUCGAAAGGGAAACAGCCCAGACCACCAGCUAAGGUCCCAAAAUAUAUGUGAAGUGGAAAAGGAUGUGGCGUUGCCCAGACAACUAGGAUGUUGGCUUAGAAGCAGCCAUCAUUUAAAGAGUGCGUAAUAGCUCACUAGUCGAGUGACACUGCGCCGAAAAUGUACCGGGGCUAAACAU
rnacentral:rRNA from 1 species